UUCAGAUUUAAUCCAGAUUUAAUCUGUUUUGGAGCCACUUGUCACUUUGGAUCCAAGAGUGUCUCCACCUGGUACCAGCAAUUGACUCCAAAGACUUAUGAUGUUUCUCCUUCGCUUCAGCCAGAGCACCACACAUUCACAUUCUACAAUAGUGGUCAUGAUUCAUCAUAAGGAGGGAAACUCAACCCUCACUAAAGUGUUAAGGGGAAACCGGAGCACCCAGCGGAAACCCACACAGACAGAACAUGCAAACUCCACACAGAAAGGCCCACACUG